rnacentral:rRNA from 1 species
UACGUAGGGGGCAAGCGUUGUCCGGAAUCAUUGGGCGUAAAGAGCGUGUAGGCGGCCCGAUAAGUCCGCUGUGAAAGUCCAGGGCUCAACCCUGGGAUGCCGGUGGAUACUGUCGGGCUCGAGUCCGGAAGAGGAGUGUGGAAUUCCUGGUGUAGCGGUGAAAUGCGUAGAUAUCAGGAGGAACACCGGUGGUGUAGACGGCUUUCUGGACCGUAACUGACGCUGAGACACGAAAGCGUGGGUAGCAAACAGG